UCCUUAUCAACCGGUUCCACGCUGUGAUCUAUAGUUCCAGCUGGUAAGACAGCUUCACACUUAGAGAUGUCAAAACCAAAGUCAUAGUCCUUAGGAACAUUCUCAGGUCUAACUGCAGUUGCAUUCAACAUUUCACACAAUCCAUACUCAACAGCGACCUGAAAAAUGAGAAAUAACAGGUUCAACUACAAUAUCAGAAGGACAAAAAUAUGUAUCAGGAACUAAGUGCUUUUUAUUUCUCACGAUCCAGAUACUACACAAGAGUUGAGAAAUUGAUAGACUGGUUGACGGUACUUUACUUUGCCAUGCUCACAGCAGCCUUCUCCCUACUUUGGAUACCAAAACGUAAUUGAGUAACUUGUGACUGUAACCUGGCAGAUUUGCAGUGUGCAAACACAGCUAAACGGCCCAAGGCUCCACACAACUGCAUGGCUUCACAGAGUUUUUCCAUGUUUGGUAGUAUCUUGACCAUUUAAUGACUUCUAAAGUAUUAUGGUAUCUGUUUAAAGACCCUUUCACUUCCUUCUUAAAGAACUGCUUAACUUAUGAUUUAGCAUUUGUGUUCUUGUAAUCUUUCUCGGUCAUUUCAGUAUUCAAUUCCUAAUUCUCCAACCUCUGAAGAUUCAGUAAUUCUUUUUUUCCUUCAAAACAAAAGAGUUACCCAUAAUCUCAUUGGCUUCUAAUGGAUGACCCAACAAAUGGAUUACAAUGGUGAGGCUGACUUUCUUGCUUUUGGAGACACAACGAAAAAUGAUUUUUUGCAUAUAUGCUUCCUGAUUUUCUCCGGUUCAACCAAAACAGCACCACACAAAAAAAAAAAUCUUCAUCAAAGAAAAAACAUAUCAUUUCUGUCGUAGGAAAACAGCCCAUAUCUAUAAAAGUAAUAAAAAAAUUAUUCUAGAGAUUUCCCCAUGCAACCCCAUUAAUAAGAUUAUUGCAAAUAACCAUGCAACCAAAAUAUUUCAACGAGAGAAUCUAUCUAUAGAAACAAGAUGUACACAAUAAGUACGUAUCUGUGAUGAGGGACCUUGAUUUUGGAGGGGUCGAUGGUGAUGCCGUUGGAGGAAGUGACGGUGAGAUCGUCAUCGUUGACGGCGCAGAGGCCGUGGACAACUUCGGUGGCGGUCUGGAGACACCGGAGAAAUGGAGAAACGAAG
rnacentral:lncRNA from 1 species